GCAGCCGCGGUAAUACGGAGGAUGCGAGCGUUAUCCGGAUUUAUUGGGUUUAAAGGGUGCGUAGGCGGUUUGUUAAGUCAGUGGUGAAAGUUUGCGGCUCAACCGUAAAAUUGCCAUUGAAACUGGCGAACUUGAGUACAGUAGAGGUAGGCGGAAUUCGUGGUGUAGCGGUGAAAUGCUUAGAUAUCACGAAGAACUCCGAUUGCGAAGGCAGCUUGCUGGACUGUAACUGACGCUGAGGCACGAAAGCGUGGGG
rnacentral:rRNA from 1 species